rnacentral:lncRNA from 1 species
UAGGAAUGCAAUUCUACACUCCAGUUCUAUACAACAGGCACACUGAAAUAACUACCACCUUGUUGCCUGUCUAGAAAAUGCACACUUCUGCUUGAGGUGAAGAUCUGUGCCUGUAGUGUGAUGAGUAGUUACCUGUUACUUUAUUCAGAGCAGCCUUCUUGUAUGAUAAGUGAACUUCUGUCUUUAACAUAAAAUACUCUUCUGACAACCUCUUACACAUUUCAUUAAACUUUUUCAGAGCUAAUAUGACUUUCCCUAAUGAAGUGAAUGACUUCCAAGUACUGAAGGUUUACAUAUGGUUGCUGUUCAACAACUUCAGUGUCUGCAAAGUGCAUUUCCUCCGUCUUGAACCUAACUGAAAGCCCAUGCUGAUGUUAAAGGAAUUGUAAGUUGAGCAGUAUUACAGUGGCCAGCUGGAGGUCCAGUACAACUUGCAGCAGCAGGAAUCUUUUCUUUGACUUCCAUGUCAAUGGGAAUGAACGGGAAUGAACUUUUGGUUCUGCAUAAGGUUGCAAAAUGUAGAUAACAUUUUGGUUUUGAGUUCUCCUUGCAGUCGGUAGAAAGACACAGGCCUCUCUGGAGAGUGAGUAAUUUCAUUCAAAAGCAAG